AUGUUGUGUCAACUUCAGCUCAUUUGAUUUUAUGAAAUACAUGCACUUAAAAUGGAAUUCAAGUUGAAUUUGAAAGAGACAGCUCUGCUCGACAAAAAACUGAACCUUUCUGGAUGUACCGACCCAAAGCUUCUGUUAAUCCACCAACGUUUCCAGUGAUGUGCUGUCAGAGGAGCAGCCUCAGGUUGUGUCUCGACAUGACAGUUCAGAGUCUGCCGGUCUGAGACUGAAGGAACCUAAUCCAGCCCGAUACACUGCUCAGAUCUCUCAGAGGGACGCUGAGGAGAAAUAAACUGCGACGGCUGAGGCAGCAGUAAUAGAGGAUAAGUGCAGGGUAGAAGCAGGAUGGCUGGAUUCUGAUGGCUCUGUGUGUGAAAUCUAUUUCAAAGUUCACUUUCGCUUUAAGGAGCGGGAGCUAUAUCUCUCCCCGUAUAAAACAACGAG